rnacentral:rRNA from 1 species
UGGGGAAUCUUGCACAAUGGGGGAAACCCUGAUGCAGCGACGCCGCGUGAGCGAUGAAGCCCUUCGGGGUGUAAAGCUCUUUCGGCGGGAACGAAUUAUGACGGUACCCGCAGAAGAAGCUGCGGCUAACUACGUGCCAGCAGCCGCGGUAAUACGUAGGCAGCAAGCGUUGUUCGGAGUUACUGGGCGUAAAGAGUAUGUAGGCGGUCCUGCAAGUUUGGUGUGAAAUCUCCCGGCUUAACUGGGAGGGUGCGCCGAAAACUGCCGGGCUAGAGUGCGGGAGAGGAGAGCGGAAUUCCUGGUGUAGCGGUGAAAUGCGUAGAUAUCAGGAGGAACACCGGCGGUGUAGACGGCUCUCUGGACCGUGACUGACGCUGAGAUACGAAAGCGUGGGGAGCAAACAGG